UACGGAGGGUGCAAGCGUUGCUCGGAAUUAUUGGGCGUAAAGAGCUCGUAGGCGGCCUGUUACGUCUGCUGUGAAAUCCCGGGGCUUAACCCCGGGCGUGCAGUGGAUACGGGCAGGCUGGGGGCAGGCAGGGGAGAACGGAAUUCCCGGUGUAGCGGUGAAAUGCGCAGAUAUCGGGAGGAACACCGGUGGCGAAGGCGGUUCUCUGGGCCUGUACUGACGCUGAGGAGCGAAAGCGUGGGGAGCGAACAGG
rnacentral:rRNA from 1 species